AUACUUACCUGGCAGGGAGAUACUGUGAUCAAAAAGGUGGCUUUCCCAGGGUGAGGCUUAUCUAUUGCACUUCAGAUGUGCUGACUCCUGAGAUUUUCCCAAAUGUGGGAAACUCUACUGCAUAAUUUGUGGUAGUGGGGGACUGUAUUUUCAUUCUCCCCUA
rnacentral:snRNA from 1 species